GCUCUAGGACAAACAGUGGGAAUUGAGCUACCUAAUGGAUAAAUCAUCAUUUUUCUAUGAACUCUGCUGUUAUAUCUUUAAAGGUUCCUCGUCCUGAGCAUGGGUUAUGAAUCUUCUUUAAACAAUUCCACCACCAUUCUGUUUAACUGCAUAUUACCAGUAAGAUAUUAAAUAAAGUUACCGAUGAGCUAAAAGUUGCUCAUUUCUUUUAGAUUUUAUGGUAGUGAGCAGUUCUGAGGUUGUUGUGAGUUGUUUAUGGUAUUUGUACUGUCAUCCUUUUGUGUUGGUGUAUAUUUUCUUCUGCAUUCAUUACCUGUGAGCUAAAAGACCAGACUAGAUUGUUAUUUACCGUGGUUUUCCUUGUUUCAGAAAGACCAGUUCUGUACUCUGGAAGUAGUGAUUCAGCCUGGAGGAAUUUCAGACUUCCACAUCAGAUGAUGUCUUCAACAAACAGUAUCGGACCUUCACCUGGCUCACAGAUGGAUUUCUUGGGAGAACUUCGUCGUGCAAUUCGCAAUGCUAAUGCCAAUUCUGACAACUAGCGACUGACAAAGAGCACACAUUGGUUGAUAUGGACUUAUGAAGUACUGUUUUUAUGAGCUUUGUGCUUGAAGUACCUGUUGUAUGUGUUCAUUAAUUACUCAAAAAAUGCUACUUGUUUGGGCCAUUAUGUCAUUUACUGUAAAGCAUGGUCCAGGCAUUCGCGUAUGGCCUGGUCCUUGGAUGUGUAAUUUAGAUGAAAACCUUGUGAGCUCUGUUAGCUAUACAAUGUUCUAUAGUUUUUACUUUGGAACCUUAGAGGGACUUCUUUGAUCUCUUUUCUUUUCCUUUUUUAGAAAGAAGGGAAGGGGGAGAGUGUUGCCGGCUUAUCCUUGAUUGGACUUGCACGGUUUUUGGUGGAUGCAAAUCUCUCUUAGUAAAGGUGGACUAAUAAAACUGAGGAUCCGUAUCUGUGUUUUA